CUUCUCCCGGGCGCUGCCUUGUCCCCCCGUCGCAGGGAGUUCCGUGUCCCCCGGGCUGAGGCGAUAGGGAUUUGUUACCGCAGCGUGGGGCCGGGAAGGUUGCUGUGGACCCCCCCGCCCCGAAAGGUAGGGGAGGGAUUGUGUCCCCCUCUCCCCCCCCACACACUGCGGAUUUCAUGCUGGAAAGUUGGGGGAGGCAUGCCUCCCCGCCCCAUAGUGAGAUGGGUUUGGUGCUGGGGCAUCUGAGGGGUUCAUGCCCCCCACGCACCUCCUGAGUGUUGUGUUCUGUCUCUUCUCGCGGCCCCAGGACCAUUUAGAGAUUAAUGAGUCUGCUCUACAUCCUUAGCUAGGGUCCAGCUGGCUGUUAGCUCAGGCAGUAGAGGCUCAUGCACUAAGCCAGGGGUGGGCAAACUAUGGCCCACGGGCCACAUCUGGCCCUCCAGACGGUUUAAUCCGGCCUUCGAGCUUCUGCUGGAAGCAGGGUCUGGGGCUUGCCCUGCUCCCACACUCCAGCUGGGGAGCCAGGUCAAAAGUUGCUCCCGGAAGCAGCAUGCUGCUGCUUCCAGGAGUUGCUUGAGGUAAGUGCCACCCAGAGCCUGCACCCCGGCCUCCUCCUGUGCCCCAGCCCUGAUCCCUCUCCUGCACCCUGAACUCCUCAUUUCUGGCCCCACCCCGGAGCCUGCACCCCCCAGCCAGAGCCUUCACCCCCUUCUGUACCCCAACCCCAAUUUCGUGAGCGUUCAUGGCCCACCAUACAAUUUCCAUACCCAGAUGUGGCCCUCGGGCCAAAAAGUUUGCCCAUCCCUGCACUAAGCUGUAGAGGUCCCCAGCUCAAUCCCUACAUGAGCAAUCCAGGUUCAGCCCCACAACUCUUUGCCCACCAGGGCCGGCAAGAGCUGGGUAUCCUGCACACAGGUGGUUUUCAGUUUUGGAGAUUAGACUGUCAGAGGUUGUAUCACUGCCUUCUGCUAGCUGGAAUAUCACAGCUAUAUGUGAAUCUAGACGUAUAUGAGAGUCUUCCACGCAACUGACUGGCCAGCAAAGAUGCUAUAAAUCCCACUGAUGGAACAGAAUGAGAGACUCCUUCUCCAGACUGGGGAUGUGUCUGACAGAAAUUCAUUUCUGUACCCAGGCCGCUCUGUCUUGUUAAUUCAAGCUGCAGUGCGCUGAUCACUAGAGAGCAGAACGCUGUCCCAUGCUGCAAUGCAUCAUUCAAAGUUGUUUGUGAAUUUGUGUCAGUUUGCCCACUCUGCUCAGGAAUCCGCACAGAGCAUAUCAUGAGCCCCAGGAUGUUGGAAUCUAUAUCAGUGUGGUGUUUUAUAUCUUUACUGCAUCCAGUCUACUAAAUACCUCCUCAUAUUCUUCAGAAGACAAGAUAUACACCUUAACCAUCUGAUUUUAUAAACUGAUCUUCUCCUCGUGGGACACAUGGAAUUCCUCCAGGUCUUUGUGCACAAAUGCAUUUUGCUUUUAUACUUCUUUGCAAUUUGUACUGAAAGGAUUUGAAGCAGUCUGACUGAGACUCGGGCAACCUGGGUUCAAUUCUGGACUCUGCUAUAGACUUAAUGUGUGGCCAUGGGCAAGUCACUUAACUCCUGUUCACCUUAGUUCCCCAUCUGUAAAACUGAGAUACUUCCCUUUGUCUGUGUUGUGUAGUUAGACUGUAAACUGUUCAGGUGAAGGACUGUCUCUUACUAUGAAUUGUAUAGUGUCUAGCAGAAUGGGGACCCAAUCUCAAUAGUACUGUAAUACACAGUAAUAAUAAGAGCAGCAUACUUUUGCAAAAUGGUUGUUUAAUUGCAUGCAGCAUUACAUCAAAUUCUUUGUUGGAUACUCUUACAUUGUAAUUGCAUCCACAUUUAUUGCAAACAAAUCGGUUCUCUGCUGUUUGCUUGCCAUUGUAUUGUGUUUCUGUGCCUUCGUAUGGAUUUUUAAUUAGAUGGACUUCAGUUCUUGCUAACACUUUCACUUGGGGCAGCAUAGCUUUCACUAGUUCUAGAAAUAUCCACUGUUUUCUUGUAACAUGAAAUCAGUUUCACAUUACCUUGUUUUGACCUGGUUAUCAAUUUUUAACAACAAAUAAUUUGGUGUCUGAUUAAUUCUUCUGUUAACUAUUCAAAUUCUCAUGAUUUAGUUUUAUUAUUUAAGUCUCUAACAUAAUGGUUAAUGCUCUCAGCUCUUAGCUUCUGUCUUGUCAAGAAUAUGUGCUUUUCCUAAGUGACAUUCUUAUGUAUAUCAAAGUAUUGGACAUUUUUGAAUGACUUUUGAAUACAAUUUGCAGUUCUUUUCGUGCUUCUACUGAAAUAUAUUGCAUAUCUCCAAUAUCUCUGUGCCUGCUGCAGUAGCAGUAUGUUAAAGGAUUUUACUCUCUUGGAUUUCUCUGUAAUAUUACUUGCUUCUAGGAAAACUGAGCAAUGCAGCCACCAUCUCCAUCAGUUUUCUGCCCAGUUCACUUCUAGGCUGAGGGAUUCAGGCUCCAUUUCCCUCCAUAUAUUUAGCUUACUUGUCAGACAGGGUAAGAGAUCAGUCUUUAUCUCCUGGCGUUAGUCAUAUGACAUAGUCCCAUGUUACAAAAAGUCCAUACCCUUGUCACAUGACAGGGUGGUUCAGUCAGUCUCCAGUGACUCCAGCAGCCGUUGUUACAGUAACAUAGCAUUUAAUUCUCUCUUAUGCCUCCAGAGGAAAAUAUAGUCUUCAGUAUUUACAGAGUCUUUUUUUUUAAACAUGGGGCCCAAUCCUGUAGUUCUGACUCAGAUAAAAUUCCCAAUAACAAUGAGUCUGAUACUGCACCUAUUAAAAUAAAUGGAUAGAUUCCCAUUGACUUCAAUGAAGCAGAAUUGGCCCUAGCUGGGGAGUUGUGUGUGUGGAAGCUUGUAGGAAAAGGAUCUUGAAUUCUACUGAAAGGUGACACAUUUGAUAUAUUUCAAAAUUAUCAUAAAGCAAAUUAUUGUGGCUUGAAUUUCUAUUCUACAACCGUAUUUAAUUUAUUCUGCAAUAAUCUACUUCCUCAAAUUAGCUUAACAAAGAGAAGGUUGAAGGGUGACUUGAUUACAUAUUAGCAUCUACAUGGGGACCAAAUAUUUAAUAAUGGGCUCUUCAGUCUAGUAGAGAAAGUUAUAACAUGAUCCAAUGGCUGGAAGUUGAAGCUAGACAAGUUCAGAUUGGAAAUAAAGCAAAACUGUUUAACAGUGAAAAUAAUUCACCACUGGAACAAUUUACCACGGUCAUGGUAGCUCCUCCAUUAUUGACAAUUUUAAAAUCAAGAUUGCAUGUUUUUCUAAAAGAUCUGCUCUAGGAAUUAUUUUGAGGAAAUUCUAUGGCUUGUUUUAUACAGGACGGCAGACUAUAUGGUUACAGUGGUCCCUUCUGGCUUUGAAAUUUUGAAUAAACGUCCAUCUAAUUAAUGCCUAAUUUUUUGCAAACCUGGGACUGUUUUGGGGCGGAUACCAUAGUCUUUAUUCGGCAGAGAUCCCACUGUCUUCAAUGUGGAGUUUUAUCUUCAAAGAGUUUCCCCUUCAGUAGGAAAUUUUGUGUGAGUAAAGAGAGCAGGAUCAAUCCCAUAUAUUGUACAGACUUGAAAUCAGGAAUAAAUGUGCAAUAAGAAUAUGACAGUGGCUCUAAUUCCUUUCACAUUAAUUUUAACUGUUGUUAUUAAUUAAACCCUGAAAAUCAGGGAUUUAAUGGAAACUUUGACAGACCUUUGAUUAUAACAUUUUAACAGUCUAAUACUCUAAGGUGUCCUCUACUGGGUGCAUAGGACAUACUGUACUUCAGAGAGUGUGGGAAAAAAUCAUAGGUUUUUACUUUGAAUUUAAGGUACUUUUUACAUUUAUGUCAUGCUUUCCAGACUUUAGGAUCUCACUGCUGAUUGCUACAGCUGGGUGAGCUAUAUAAAGAGAAUUAUUUAUUUAACCCUUUUUUCUGUUCACAAAUAAUCAGCAAUCAGAGUUAGAUUUUUAUUAAUUGAUUUAUUGUUCAGAAUUAUUUGACCAAUGUUUUAUGAGCAUGUAUUUCAGCCUGUGGAUUGUGGAAUGUAUUUCAGCCAAUGCCUAGUACAGUGGGGUUCUGGUCCAUGAUUGGGACUCCUACGUGCUACUGUAAUACAAACAGAUGAAAUUUGACAUUUUCAUUUUACUGAGGAAAUUCAUCGCUGUAUAGAGGACCAGCACAAAGCCUUUAUGUCUCAUGUGUGGCCUCAAAAUACA